GGCAUCCAUUAGGAAUUUAUGUGGACAAUAUAAAUAUGAGUAGAGGUAUUGGAGAACCAACAUUCAAAGGGGUACUUGCUUCCGAUAUGAAACUAAACAAAUUCAAACAGCUUUACAGGUUUGCAAAUUUUGUCUGACUUGGAACAAAGCCAAUUUCCAGUGGAAGCUUGGGGCGAAAUGGUCCAGACGCAUGUCUUUACAACAUGGGAGGAAACCAGAGCACCUGGAAGAAACCCACACGAAUGCAGGGAGGACAUGCAGACUCCGCACAGAAGGAAACAGCAUCUUGCUGUGAGGUGACAACGUAACUGCGGCACCACUGCGCCAUACUGCAACUUCUUGUUUGCCUUUCAAACAGAAGCCAUUAAGUGUAAUUAGCAAGCAUGUACAUUAAUUAUUAAACAUCAGACAUUUUACAUGUGAGGCUGUGGAACCAACCAAAUCUAUACCAGUUAUUGUUUUGAGACUCUGACACAGCUUCCUUGGGUAUAAAGCCUAGUUUAGUAUUAGUUCUAUUUUUGUAACAGUGAACUUUAUUAUCAUAGUAAUUAAUGUGACUAUUACGUCAACAGGUUAAAUUAUUACAUUACAUUUUAAAUAAGUUAUGACAACCUCAACAAUUUUCUAUCAGAAUUUUGACAUGUUAAGGGCAGUCAGAUCACACAGUACCUUACUUGUUCUGAUGCAGCCUUACUUCUCUGGCCAAGUAACUUGUCUGUAAAAAGUUUGCUAAACAUUAAAGAUCAUGUUGUGUUAUCAAAUACUGUAUGUUAAAAAGAAAGGACCAGCAUGGCAGAAAAGAGAAAAUUAAAGAGUCAUACCUUCUAGUUUAAGCAGCCCAUAUCAUUAGUCAUUUAUUUUAUAGACAAAGAAGCUGUGAUUUUGGUAAGUAAUGUUUUAUUUGAGACUUUUUAGGACUACCUCUAAUGAAGUGAACCCCUUUACUACGUCUUUUAGAGCUUGCUGUGUGAUGCCAUUAUUGAGAAUUUGUUUAGUUAAGUAGAUUGAUUUUAGGAAGGUGUGUCACCUGUAAAGUAUAAAUGUAAUCAUGUAUUAUGGUUUAUUUAAACUGAAGUUAUCUGUAUUGUCUUAAGUGUAUUUCAAACUUCUCAUAACCAAAGUUAAAUAGUUGGUUCUGUAUUUUUCCAUUCAAGAUAAAAUAAACAUCUUUGGAAUGCCUU